UAUUUAUAAGGUGGGUGCCAUAUUU
rnacentral:piRNA from 1 species